rnacentral:rRNA from 1 species
CGCCUGUUUAUCAAAAACAUGUCUUUUUGUGUACCCAUAAAAAGUCGUGCCUUCCCCAGUGGGUUUUACCCUAAACGGAUGCGGUAAAUCGUGCUAAGGUAGCUUAAAUUAUGGCCCAUUAAUUGUGGGUCUUGCGAACGGCUUGACGAGUUCCCUACUGUCUCAAAGUUGUUUUGGUGAACUUGAAUUGGAUGUGUAAAUGCUUCCAUGAGUGAGAAAGACGAGAAGACCCCGUGAAGUUAGAAAUUUUUUAUCUAGUAUGAAUUUUCAGUUUUUUUUGAGUUUGUAGACGUAAGUUGAGAUCUUGAGAGUUGAAAAAUAUGGUUCUAUUGUUUUGGCUGGGGCAGCAAGAAGGCAAAACUAGACCUUCUUUAUUAAAAAACGGGUGCGUUACGACCCAUAGUUUUGAAAGGAAUGAUUAUCAGAAGAAGUUACUCCGGGGAUAACAGCGUUAUCCGUCCUGAUAGUCCUUAUAGAUGGGCGGGUUUGCGACCUCGAUGUUGGCUCUGGUUAUCCUGAGGCUUGCAGGAGGUCUCGAGGGUUGGUUUGUUCGCCCAUUAAAAUCCGACGUGAUCUGAGUUCAGACCGG